AUGAUACUUCCUCCGUUCGAAAUUACUUGUCUUAGAUAUGGAUGUAUCUAGAAUUAAAAUACGUGUAGAUACAUCCAUUUCUGUGACAAGUAAUUUCGAAUGAAGGGAAUACAUC
rfam:Triticum urartu cultivar G1812 contig1149129, whole genome shotgun sequence.